GGAAAAGCAAAGAUGGAAAAGAGUAGACUUUAUAAAUCAUCCAGAGAGAAGAAUACUUGGUGGAAGUUCUUUAUGAAAGCGUUUAGUUGAAAACCAUUCCUGAGCUGUUGUGCUGAACCAAUAAGUAAGUACAUCCGUAUGUCUGCGUUAAAGGCUAGGAUUUGUUAGAAUCUGAAGUGAAAAGUUAAGGUGGAACCGUGCACAGAUUAUAAUUGCACCCUUAAA
rnacentral:ncRNA from 1 species